rnacentral:rRNA from 1 species
AUGUUCACCUUCAAGCAGGAAUCGGGAAAGAGGAAGGCGCUCGAUGAUGGACCGUGGAUGUUUGAUAAAGAUCUUGUUGUAGUUGAGGAUUAUGACCCGGGGAAACGUCUAGAGGACUACGAGUUCAAUGAAAUCCCAGUUUGGGUGAGAGUCUUCAGUCUACCUCUAGGGAUGAUGAAUGAGGAAGCGGCAGAAGAAAUAGGCAAUCUGAUUGGGCGCUUUGUGGAAGUGGAUGCUAGGGCGGAUGGGAAGUCCAUCGGAAAGUAUAUGAGGGUGAAGGUUAGGAUGAAUAUCGAGAAGCCGAUUAUGCGAGGUUUUACACUGGAGGAGGAGGAUGAUCAGCUGAACCAGAAACAAAAGAAGAGGAAGAAUAUUGAUGGUAAUGGGGAAGAAGUGGAGGGGCUAUGGUGCCGAUUCGAGUAUGAAUUCAUGUGUGACUUCUGUUAUACAUGCGGUAUCAUUGGGCAUGGAGACAAGGAUUGUUCGACCAGACUGGAGAAGGGGGAGAAAGCGCAAUUUGGUAGCUGGUUGAAAGCUGGUUUGGGAGGCGUAGAGGGGGCAAUGAGGAUAGCUGGGGAUGGAAGGGAAAGAAUUGAGGGGGAGACAGUGGACGAAGCUAUGGUUUCAACAGAUCGAGUGGCAGGUCUGGGAGUGGUAGCGAUAGCCUUUCUUGGCGUAAGGAAGAUGGUAGACUAA